rnacentral:lncRNA from 12 species
CGAAAAUUUCUAUUAAAAGCAACGUCAGACAGAGAAAUAAUCUAUGCUAUUUUUCUUUUGAAUGUGCACGGCACCAAGAAACAGAUCUGCUUGAGAAAGGUAAACAUUUGCUUAAACAUACCAGCCCAGAGAGUGACUCCAGGCUCCAGUUUAGAAAGUUACACGAGUACCAACAGCAAGGUCUGUUUCUGCAGAGCCCCCAGCACAGCACCGAGCAGGGACACGCUGUGGCUGUGCAGGGACACGCUGUGGCUGUGGAGGGACAGAGCAGGGACACGCUGUGGCUGUGCUGAGCAGGGACAGAGCAGGGACACACUGUGGCUGUGGCUGAGCAGGGACACGCUGUGGCUGUGCUGUGCAGGGACAGAGCAGGGACACGCUGUGGCUGAGCAGGGACAUGUGAGACACAGAGCACACACAGCAGCCACACUGUGGCUCUGCUGUGCAGGCUCUCCAAGGAAGCUCUCCCUGCACAGGAGCAGCUGCAAGCCAGCCUUCAUCCAGAAUGCUCUUCUGACCCCCAUCCUCAAAUCAUCCAGCAGACAAACUCGGGCAAAGUCAGGCUGCUUUAAGCUCAGAGCUUGAAACCUCACCUGAGCAACUGCUCUUGCAGAGGUAAUAAAACACGCCAAGAACAUGUUUCAGCUGCAUCUGUCCCUCCAGCUCCCACUGGACAAGCACUCUCUCCUCCCUACAGAAUGCUUGCUGGUAGGUCUGCUUAUUAAAUUAAUGAAAGUAAUUGUAUUAGCAGCAGUUCUGGUCCC